UGUCUGCGGCUGCAGAAAGAGGAAGAUUUUUGUCUCCGGUUUUCUCGCGGGCGGAGUAAAAGUUCCGCUCGGUGCAGAGACUCCGAGAUCCUCCCCGCCAGGAUGGGCGCAGCGCCGGGCUCCGUCCUUGUGCUGCUGGCGGUCCUGAAGCAGGCGAAUGCAAACUCGGUCUCGCAGUCUGCCGGCACUGUGACUGUCCGGGAAGGGGACUCCGUAUUCAUCAACUGCACCUAUAGCUUGACUGGGACCCCAUACCUCUUCUGGUACGUCCAGUUCCCAAACGAAGCCCCUCGCCUCCUGCUGACCCAGUACGAGGCACAGGACGAGGAGGAUGAGAAACGCCGGCGCGGGUUCUCUGCUGAUUUACAGAAAGACUCGUCGUCCUUCCACCUGAGGAAAACCUCCAGCCAAGCGAGCGACUCUGCCGUCUAUUACUGCGCGCUGAGAGACACAGUGAGCCCUGCCGGCGGGGAGCUGUGCAAAAACCCCUGA